AGUGAACGCUGGCGGUAUGCCUAAUACAUGCAAGUCGAACGGACGCACAGUAAGAGCUUGCUCUUACGGGUGGCGAGUGGCGGACGGGUGAGGCAUACAUAGGAUUCUACUUUUUCGUGGGUGAUAACGUAGGGACACUUAUGCUACUACAGAAUACUUUCUACGGGUGAAAUCAAGAGAUAUUGGCAGUUUGCGUGUUUCAUUUAGCCGAUGUCGGAUUAGCUAGUUGGCUGGGUAAAGGCACACCAAGGCAAGGCACCGAAGCUGGUCUGAGAGGAUGAUCAGCCACACUGGAACUGAGACACGGUCCAGACUCCUACGGGAGGCAGCAGUGGGGAAUAUUGGACAAUGGGCGAAAGCCUGACCCAGCCAUACCGCGUGGGUGAAGAAGGCCUUCGGGUUGUAAAACCCUGUUAUUAGGAAAGAACAUAUGUGGAAGAAACUGUGCACAUCCUGACGGUACCUAAUCAGAAAGCCCCGGCUAACUACGUG
rnacentral:rRNA from 1 species